rnacentral:rRNA from 1 species
AUAGAUACAAGCUAGCGCGGAUGGGGUGAGUAACGCUGGGUAACCCUGCCCUUAAGUCUGGGAUACCAUUUGGAAACAGAUGCUAAUACCGGAUAAAAAGCUACCUUCGCAUGAAAGAAGUUUAAAAAGGCGGCGUAAGCUGUCGCUAAAGGAUGGACCUGCGAUGCAUUAGCUAGUUGGUAAGGUAACGGCUUACCAAGGCGAUGAUGCAUAGCCGAGUUGAGAGACUGAUCGGCCACAUUGGGACUGAGACACGGCCCAAACUCCUACGGGAGGCAGCAGUAGGGAAUUUUCCACAAUGGACGCAAGUCUGAUGGAGCAACGCCGCGUGAGUGAAGAAGGUUUUCGGAUCGUAAAGCUCUGUUGUUGGUGAAGAAGGAUAGAGGUAGUAACUGGCCUUUAUUUGACGGUAAUCAACCAGAAAGUCACGGGCUAACUACGUGCCAGCAGCCGCGGUAAAU